rnacentral:rRNA from 1 species
UACGUAGGGUGCGAGCGUUGUCCGGAAUUAUUGGGCGUAAAGGGGCUCGUAGGCGGUUUGUCGCGUCGGGAGUGAAAACUCAGGGCUUAACCCUGAGCCUGCUUCCGAUACGGGCAGACUAGAGGUAUGCAGGGGAGAACGGAAUUCCUGGUGUAGCGGUGAAAUGCGCAGAUAUCAGGAGGAACACCGGUGGCGAAGGCGGGUCUCUGGGCCGAUACUGACGCUGAGGAGCGAAAGCGUGGGGAGCAAACAGG